UACGGAGGGGGCGAGCGUUAUUCGGAAUUAUUGGGCGUAAAGGGCGCGUAGGCGGCUUGAUAAGUCAAAGGUGAAAUCCCUCGGCUCAACUGAGGAACUGCCUUUGAAACUGUCAGACUUGAGGCCGGGAGGGGGUAGCGGAAUUCCCAGUGUAGCGGUGAAAUGCGUAGAUACUGGGAGGAACACCGGUGGCGAAGGCGGCUACCUGGACCGGUUCUGACGCUGAUGCGCGAAAGCGUGGGGAGCAAACAGG
rnacentral:rRNA from 1 species